UUACCUCAGUAACGGCGAGUGAAGCGGUAACAGCUCAAAUUUGAAAUCUGGCCUCACGGUCCGAGUUGUAAUUUGUAGAGGAUGCUUCGAGCAUGGUCUGGCCUAAGUUCCUUGGAACAGGACGUCAUAGAGGGUGAGAAUCCCGUAUGCGGCCAGGUGCCUACGCUCAUGUGAAGCUCCUUCGACGAGUCGAGUUGUUUGGGAAUGCAGCUCAAAAUGGGUGGUAAAUUUCAUCUAAAGCUAAAUAUUGGCCAGAGACCGAUAGCGCACAAGUAGAGUGAUCGAAAGAUGAAAAGCACUUUGGAAAGAGAGUUAAACAGUACGUGAAAUUGUUGAAAGGGAAGCGCUUGCAACCAGACUUGCGCGCGGCCGAUCAUCCGGUGUUCUCACCGGUGCACUCGGCCGUGCUCAGGCCAGCAUCGGUUUUGGCGGCUGGAUAAAGGCCCUAGGAAUGUGGCUCCUCUCGGGGAGUGUUAUAGCCUAGGGUGCAAUGCAGCCUGCUGGGACCGAGGACCGCGCUUCGGCUAGGAUGCUGGCGUAAUGGUUGUAAGCGGCCCGUCUUGAAACACGGACCAAGGAGUCUAACAUCUAUGCGAGUGUUUGGGUGUCAAACCCAUACGCGUAAUGAAAGUGAACGGAGGUGAGAACCCUUAAGGGUGCAUCAUCGACCGAUCCUGAUGUCUUCGGAAGGAUUUGAGUAAGAGCAUAGCUGUUGGGACCCGAAAGAUGGUGAACUAUGCCUGAAUAGGGUGAAGCCAGAGGAAACUCUGGUGGAGGCUCGCAGCGGUUCUGACGUGCAAAUCGAUCGUC
rnacentral:rRNA from 1 species